CCUACGGGAGGCAGCAGUGAGGAAUAUUGGUCAAUGGGCGCUAGCCUGAACCAGCCAAGUAGCGUGAAGGAUGACUGCCCUAUGGGUUGUAAACUUCUUUUAUAUGAGAAUAAAGUGCAGUACGUAUACUGCUUUGCAUGUACCUGAAGAAUAAGGAUCGGCUAACUCCGUGCCAGCAGCCGCGGUAAUACGGAGGAUGCGAGCGUUAAUCGGAAUUACUGGGCUUAAAGCGCUCGUAGGCGGUAUGUUAAGUCAAGGGUGAAAUCCCUGCGCUUAACGUGGGAAGUGCCUUUGAAACUGGCAAACUGGAGUGGGUGAGAGGAUAGUGGAAUUCCAGGUGUAGGAGUGAAAUGCGUAGAUAUCUGGAGGAACAUCAGUGGCGAAGGCGACUAACUGGCACAUAACUGACGCUGAGGAGCGAAAGCGUGGGUAGCAAACAGGAUUAGAUACCCUAGUAGUC
rnacentral:rRNA from 1 species